AUUGAACGCUGGCGGCAUGCUUUACACAUGCAAGUCGAACGGUAACAGGCCGCAAGGUGCUGACGAGUGGCGAACGGGUGAGUAAUGCAUCGGAACGUGCCCAGUCGUGGGGGAUAACGCAGCGAAAGCUGCGCUAAUACCGCAUACGAUCUAUGGAUGAAAGCGGGGGACCGUAAGGCCUCGCGCGACUUGAGCGGCCGAUGUCGGAUUAGGUAGUUGGUGGGGUAAAGGCUCACCAAGCCGACGAUCUGUAGCUGGUCUGAGAGGACGACCAGCCACGCUGGGACUGAGACACGGCCCAGACUCCUACGGGAGGCAGCAGUGGGGAAUUUUGGACAAUGGGGGCAACCCUGAUCCAGCAAUGCCGCGUGAAGGAAGAAGGCCUUCGGGUUGUAAACUGCUUUUGUACGGAACGAAACGGCUCUGGUUAAUACCCGGGGCUAAUGACGGUACCGUAAGAAUAAGCACCGGCUAACUACGUGCCAGCCGCCGCAGUAACAC
rnacentral:rRNA from 1 species